AAUGUUGCUUUUAUUCAGUCUUUCUUUUGUGCUGGUCUGAUAGUCGACUUGUUAUUUGGUGUUUAUCGCGUGGCAGCUAAACAACGUUUAUUAAAUUUAAAAAUAAGUUCUAAAUAUAAAUUGUGAAAAUUAUACUUAACAAAUUUUUGUGAAAACCAGCAACAAUCAUUCGAAAUUCAUCUAAAACAAUAAAUAUUAAAUUUGGAGCUAAAUUUUCUGCACAAUAAUAAAAUUUCAAAUCGACGACUCAAGUUUAAUUUUGCAAAUUGUAAAAAGAAGUGCGUGAUAGAUAUAAUAGAACAAACGGGUUUAACAAAGGCAUUUCGCGUGUGCGUCUGAAGCAAAAUUAAGGUGACACAAUUUUUUGGGCAUAUUUGUCCAUAAUCCUGUGAAAAAGUUUACUGCACUGCAACAGCGUCUUUUGGGUGAGGCAUAUAGUCGUGCGCACGCGUGAUCUACGGCAUCAACAGGCAAAGUAAAUUGACGAUCAAG